GUCACACACGUCACGUUACAACGGCCUUAUGCCGUUCCUCUCGCGAGCACCGACGAUGACGACUAUAACGAAGACGAAGACGAGGAAGUGAACGCCGGGAACGAAGAACCCUCCACGACUCGCUCGGCGAGGACCGCCGCUUUUGCCGCCACCAGAAGACGAGGCGGGUACACCUAGGUACACCUACACAUACGCAUGGCAACGAGAGAGUUCGCCCGCAGACCGUCUUUCCUAGGGUUCGACUAAGCUGAGUCAUCGGACUUUGUACCUCGUUAACGCUUGGAGAUUAAAUGGAAGCGGAUGAUGAAGUCCUCAAACUUGGAGUGUAAAAGGUUAUCACCUACCGAAGACGGUGUCGGUGACGAAUUAACGGCUAGUGACGGGAGGAAUCGCGAACUUGCCCUGUCGAAAGUGUUUAAAGGGGUACUCUUCCUUUCGACCAGUUUCGAGAAUCACCUAAACGGAGGACAUCAUAGCAGCUUCGUGAACAGUGGCUAAGUUUCCGUUGUUAAAUCAAAUCCAGCGAGUUGAGCCUCGUGUUAUCGUCGUCUUCGCUCGGACACAAAAAGCAGCUUGACGACAGGAUUUCGUGACAAACGAUAGCAUUGCGGACGCCAGGGCUUCGUCUCUCCUUUCCACGGAUCUUUAUACGCAAAGAUUUAUUUCAUUUUCAGCUCUUUAAUAAUCGAUCCAGCCGGAACACUCCGCAUCGUUAUGAUUGACGACCACUUCGCAUUUUUACUGAAUAACAAAUAUUUAAUAAAUUACUCGAACGAUGACACUGUAAUGGAAUCCUUCAGGUUCCGUAGACUUUCAAUCGAGAAAAUGUAGAAUACUAAACUAUGUUGCGAAUAAUGUUCAUCCUGAAGAAUUUUCAAAAGUAUUUAAGAAAUUUAGAUACUCGAGAAAGCAAUAAGGCUUGGAAGUAAUGUGUUACAAAUUCAAUAAUUUUUAGGAAAAUAUUAAAUAAAUUAGGAUUUAAUAUGUAUUUUAUCCAAAUAAAAGUGAA